UGUUCUGGUGUAAAGGGGCGUUGGCGAGGCAGGCUCCAGUUCCACAGAUCCGCCUCCCGCUUUUCACGAUGACCACAUCCGUCCCUGGGAAACAAGGCCAGGCAAACUCUCAUGAACACAUUUGCACAGAACAACAGACACAAGGACACGAUGGAGCUCCUAGAAGAAGACCUCACAUGUCCGAUAUGUUGUUGUCUCUUUGAAGACCCGCGCGUUCUGCCUUGCUCACAUAGCUUUUGCAAGAAGUGUCUCGAGGGCAUCCUGGACGGUAACCGGAGUUCUGCAUGGAGACCUCCGUUCAAAUGCCCGACCUGUCGAAAGGAGACCGCGCACAACGGUAUCGCGAGUUUGCAAGUCAAUUACACCUUGCGUGGCAUCGUGGAGAAGUACAACAAGAUUCGUGUGCUGCCGAGGAUGUCUCUCUGCCGAGCGCACAGUGGACAGCCGCUCAACAUUUUUUGUGCCACGGAUCUAAAACUCAUCUGUGGUUUUUGCGCCACAACAGGUGACCACAAGGGCCAUAAGUUCUGCGCGCUAGAGGAGGCGUACGAACGCGAAAAGGUCGCGUUUGAGGAGUUGUUUCGCGUCGUGGAGGGCUGGAGGAGCGCGGAGGUGCAUUUGUGCUUGGAGUCGUUAGAGGGAGCGAAGAAGAAAGCGCUGGAGAGGGUCUCGGGGGACGCGGAUCGAGUCUCAAGCUACUUUGACAAACUAUUGCGCACACUAGACCACAAACGGAGCGAAAUCCUCUCUGACUUCGAGACUCUGAAACUCGCGGUCAUGCAGACAUUUGAUCCUGAAAUUAACCGGCUGCGCUCGGCACUGGAGGAGCAACGGUGCGCACUCGCCAUCGCCGAAUCCUUUCGGUCGCUCUCCGAUCCACUCACCUUCCUACAGCAGAUGCAGGACUUUAGGGAAAAACUUAGCGUCAUUCGGGAAACGCCACUUCCAUCGCGAACCGAUUUGGAAGUGGGUCUGCGUGGCCUGCAGAGCUUCGAUUUGAAGGAAUGGGAUCGGGUGCGUUUUGGAGAGGUGGACAAGUUGUGCGCCCCGUACGAAAGCAGCUCUUACUUGACAUCGUUGCCCCCUGCUCCUCGCUAUUCCCGUGUACUGUGGAGAGUGCUUCUGGUUGUAUUUGCUUGUCUGCCUGCGCUGCACUUUCUCCCAUCAGACUGUCUUGCUCUGAGCUUUCAUGAUAAGUUGGUAGCAGUCGGUGGCUUUACUCUGCCCAGUCCAGGAGAGAUUUUGCGCUGGUUCGGGUUCUGUUGGAAAGAAGGAGCUGCAAUCUGCACAUUACUUAUUGAACAGUGUCGAAACUCUAUUUUGGACCUGAUAAACACGACGUCCGAUUUCAUCAGCUGAUUUUUAUAACUACAUCUAUUAGUUUGCUCCAGUGAGGCUCAGCGUUGUCCUUACUUCUCUAUGCUGGAUUGAUGAUUCAGUCCAAAAAGGUCCCAGGAAUUGAUGCUGCAGCACAUCACGGCCUGCAUCUCUGUAUCACCACAAACCAUUCUGUGCUGCUACACCAUCACCUAGGGAGGGUCUCUCUCUCUCAAUCAUACACACUCACACCCUCGGCAACAUGACUAUGCACUGCCAGAAUCAUAAGAGAGUGACUCCUCUUCCUCUCUCUCUCUCCGCAGGACUUGAGGUAUUCCAGGACUCCGUCUGAAACACAGAAGAGAACAGGACUUGAGCAAGAAUAUAUACAGCACAGCUGGACAUGAUGCUAUCUUCAGCAUGCUGGACUGUGCCGACACACCUCAUCACCACCUCUUCAAUGCUAUCAGUACAUCAAAGGAAACAAACAACUAACACUAUCAUCUAGAAUUUAACACUGGCAACAUCCAGCCUCCAAGUCAUCUUCAACAGCAGACGCUAACCUGCCAUAAGCUUUUCUAUUAGCUAAAAUGCAUGUUUUCACAAAGGUAAAUAUAGACAAAUGGUGGAUGCUGCACAUAAGUGGUGGUUGAGAAGGAUCCCCUUUCACAUGUAAAGUGCUAUAUUAAAUGUAACAAAUUAUUAUUAAUAUUAUUAAACGGUGUUCCAUUAGA